UUCACUAGCCUGUUGGGGGCAGAUGAAGUGGAUAUGGGUGUCGAAUCCUCCUGCCGUCACGAUUUUGUUCUCUCCUGCAAUCACAUCCGUGGACGAGCCGAUCACCAUGUUGGGAUGGACACCAUCCAUGACAUCUGGGUUUCCAGAUUUGCCGAUUCCAACGAUAAUUCCGUCCUUGAUUCCGAUGUCUGCCUUGUAAAUACCGCUCCAGUCAAUGACAACAGCAUUCGUAAUGACAGUGUCCAAACACUCUUUUCCAGAUUUGCCUGACGCCUGGCCCAUGCCUUCUCGGAU
rnacentral:sRNA from 1 species